AUAAGCAAAAUAAGGGCGUAUGGGGAAUGCCUAGGCUCUCAGAGGCGAAGAAGGACGUGAUAAGCUGCGAAAAGCUACGGGGAUCGGCACACACGACUUGAUCCGUAGAUAUCCGAAUGGGGCAACCCACUAUGUUGAAGACAUAGUAUCCUUUAUAGGAGGCGAACCCGCUGAACUGAAACAUCUAAGUAGGCGGAGGAGAAGAAAACAAAAGUGAUUCCGUAAGUAGUGGCGAGCGAACGCGGAAUAGCCCAAACCAAAGUUGUUACGGCAAUUUUGGGGUUGUAGGACCACGACAUUUCUUGCGGAUUGAAUUAGAAUUACCUGGAAAGGUAAACCGAAGAGGGUGAUAGUCCCGUAUAAGUAAGAGAAGAUAAGAAUAGUGGUAUCCUGAGUAGGUCGGGGCACGUGAAACCCUGAUUGAAACUGGCGGGACCAUCCGCUAAGGCUAAAUACUCCUGAGAGACCGAUAGUGAACCAGUACCGUGAGGGAAAGGUGAAAAGAACCGUGAAUAACGGAGUGAAACAGAUCCUGAAACCAUACGCCUACAAGCGGUCGGAGCCCAUUCGUUGGGUGACGGCGUGCCUUUUGCAUAAUGAGCCUACGAGUUACCGUUGCUGGCAAGGAUAAGUGAUUAAGUCAUGGAUCCGUAGCGAAAGCGAGUCUUAAUAGGGCGCUUUAGUCAGUAGUGGUAGACGCGAAACCGUGUGAUCUACCCAUGGGCAGGUUGAAGUUUAGGUAACACUAAAUGGAGGACCGAACCGUUUAACGCUGAAAAGUUUUCGGAUGACCUGUGGGUAGGGGUGAAAGGCCAAUCAAACUCGGAAAUAGCUCGUACUCCCCGAAAUGCAUUUAGGUGCAGCGAUAAUCGAUAGUUACUUAGAGGUAGAGCUACUGAUUGGAUGCGGGGGCUUCACCGCCUACCAAUUCCUGACAAACUCCGAAUGCUAAGUAAUGAUAAUUAUCAGUGAGGGCAUGGGUGCUAAGGUCCAUGUCCGAGAGGGAAAGAACCCAGACCAUCAGCUAAGGUCCCCAAAUGUAUGCUAAGUUGAAAAAACGCGGUUUGAUUGCCCAGACAGCUAGGAUGUUGGCUUGGAAGCAGCCAUUCAUUUAAAGAGUGCGUAACAGCUCACUAGUCGAGCGAUCGAGCAUGGAUAAUAAUCGGGCAUAAGCAUACUACCGAAGCUAUGGAUUUACGUUUUUAACGUGAGUGGUAGGGGAGCAUUCUAACGGGGUAGAAGGUGAUUUGUGAGAAUUGCUGGACCUUUUAGAAAAGAAAAUGUAGGCAUAAGUAACGAUAAGGGGUGCGAGAAACACCCCCGCCGUAAGACUAAGGUUUCCUGAGCUAUGCUAAUCAGCUUAGGGUUAGUCGGGACCUAAGGCACACCCGAAGGGGGACGUCGAUGGCCAACGGGUUAAUAUUCCCGUACUACUUAUAAUUGUGAUGGAGUGACACAGUGAUGAAAGCACCGCGAACUGACGGAAUAGUUCGUUGAAGCACGUACCUAUUGGUUUGAUAGUAAAAUGCGUCAGACUAGGAGAAAUGCGAUAGUACUUUGAGUCUUCGGACAACGAGAUAGUGUGCCUAAGGGCUGUCAAGAAAAGCUUCUAAACUUAGAUUAUAAGUACCCGUACCGUAAACCGACACAGGUAGUCGAGGAGAGUAUCCUAAGGCGCUCGAGAGAUUCAUGGCUAAGGAACUAGGCAAAAUAGACCUGUAACUUCGGGAGAAAGGUCGCCAGCGCAAGCUGGCCGCAGUGAAAAGGUCCAGGCGACUGUUUAUCAAAAACACAGGGCUCUGCAAAAUCGUAAGAUGAAGUAUAGGGCCUGACACCUGCCCGGUGCUGGAAGGUUAAGAGGAGAUGUUAUCGAUGAGUAAUUGUUGAGAAGCAUUGAAUUGAAGCCCCAGUAAACGGCGGCCGUAACUAUAACGGUCCUAAGGUAGCGAAAUUCCUUGUCGGGUAAGUUCCGACCUGCACGAAUGGUGUAACGAUCUGGACACUGUCUCAGCCAUGAGCUCGGUGAAAUUGUAGUAUCGGUGAAGAUGCCGAUUACCCGCAGUGGGACGAAAAGACCCUGUGCACCUUUACUAUAGCUUAGUAUUGUUCUUGGAUAAGUGAUGUGUAGGAUAGGUGGGAGACUGUGAAGUGGCGUCGCUAGGCGUUGUGGAGUCAUUGUUGAAAUACCACCCUUUGCUUAUUUGAGAUCUAACUCCGCGAUUGUGGAGGACAUUGCUUGGUGGGUAGUUUGACUGGGGUGGUCGCCUCCAAAAGAGUAACGGAGGCUUCUAAAGGUUCCCU
rnacentral:rRNA from 1 species